AGUGAACGCUGGCGGUAGGCCUAACACAUGCAAGUCGAACGGCAGCACAGUAAGAGCUUGCUCUUACGGGUGGCGAGUGGCGGACGGGUGAGGAAUACAUCGGAAUCUACUUUUUCGUGGGUGAUAACGUAGGGAAACUUACGCUAAUACAGCAUACGACCUACGGGUGAAAGCAGGGGAUCUUCUGACCUUGCGCGAUUGAAUGAGCCGAUGUCGGAUUAGCUAGUUGGCGGGGUAACGGCCCACCAAGGCGACGAUCCGUAGCUGGCCUGAGAGGAUGAACAGGCAGCUGGUAUGUGAGAAAGGGCACAGACACCGACGCGAGGAAGCAGCGGGGAAUCUUGGGCGAGGCAGGCAUGCGUGAUCCAGCGCUAUCGGGUAAAUCAAGAAGCCGCUCGGCUUGGAGAACGAUUAUGUUGGGAGGAAAAAGAAAUUGUUUCACACGCCGCUGUUAUGACGGUACCCAAAGAAGAAGCCCCGGCUAACUUCGUG
rnacentral:rRNA from 1 species